rnacentral:tRNA from 1 species
ACGCCCAUGGCCUAAUGGAUAAGGUGUCUGACUCAUAAUCAGACGAUAGUGGGUUCGAAUCCCACUGAACAUG